rnacentral:rRNA from 1 species
UACGGAGGAUGCAAGCGUUAUCCGGAAUGAUUGGGCGUAAAGCGUCCGCAGGUGGCAAUGUAAGUCUGCUGUUAAAGAGUGAGGCUCAACCUCAUAAGAGCAGUGGAAACUACAUAGCUAGAGUGCGUUCGGGGCAAAGGGAAUUCCUGGUGUAGCGGUGAAAUGCGUAGAGAUCAGGAAGAACACCGGUGGCGAAGGCGGGUCUCUGGGCCGAUACUGACGCUGAGGAGCGAAAGCGUGGGGAGCGAACAGG